rnacentral:rRNA from 1 species
AACGAACGCUGGCGGCAUGCCUAACACAUGCAAGUCGAACGAGACCUUCGGGUCUAGUGGCGCACGGGUGCGUAACGCGUGGGAACCUGCCCUUAGGUUCGGAAUAACUCCCCGAAAGGGGUGCUAAUACCGGAUAAUGUCUUCGGACCAAAGAUUUAUCGCCUUUGGAUGGGCCCGCGUUGGAUUAGCUAGUUGGUAGGGUAAAAGCCUACCAAGGCGACGAUCCAUAGCUGGUCUGAGAGGAUGAUCAGCCACACUGGGACUGAGACACGGCCCAGACUCCUACGGGAGGCAGCAGUGGGGAAUAUUGGACAAUGGGCGAAAGACUGAUCCAGCAAUGACGCGUGAGUGAUGAAGGCCUUAGGGUUGUAAAGCUCUUUUACCCGGGAUGAUAAUGACAGUACCGGGAGAAUAAGCUCCGGCUAACUCCGUG